GUGCUUGCUGUGGCAGCACAUACAUUAAAAUUGGAACGAUAGAGAUUAGCUUGGCCCCUGCACAAGGAUGACACGCAAACUCGUGAAGCGUUCCAUAUUUUU